rnacentral:lncRNA from 1 species
UUUGGUUUGCACUUGGGCCCAAAAUCCAUUAGCCUACCUGCCAUUUCCUUCAUGAAAACAGUGUCAAUGAGCAUCUUAAGCAAAAGACGAAGUUGAAUAGGAUCAGGUAACCAUGUCACAUUCAGUGUUACAUCCAACAACAAAGAAAUGAAGGAGUAGCAGACAGGAAUAUUAAUCAUAUUUUCCUUUUAAUAAUGGUUUAGUCAAAAGUGGAGCUUUGAAAAUCUCUAGCUAAUUGUGAAAACCUGUAGAAGCUGGGAAGCAACCUCACUUUGAACAGUACAUUUUAAAGCUGUGGCUUGGCCUAUCUGCUUUCAAACUCUCCAGUAGCACUGCCAACCUUGUAAAUAACAACAGGUACCACCUGGAAAUAAAAAGUCAGCCUUUAAAAGUUGGUGAAUGUAGUAGUAUUGCAGCAGCCUAGCUCUGACUGAAGAAGAAAGAUGAGAUAUUUUUAUACAGUAAACAAAGACAAGGUAAACUGAAAUUUUCAGAGAUCACUUUAAGUGUAUACAAUUUGGAUUCUCAUCAACAUUUAAAACUACCAAUCAUAAGGUUGCCACCUUACCUUUUUCUGGACUGGCAUACCUGAUUUUAAACAGGUUUUCAUCAAGUCUCCCAAGUUUCUGAUCCUCUUAUCCAGUUUUCUGCUGUACUGCUCUCCCACCUUCGUGCUGAAUACCGAGUCAGUCCUGCCUUCUGCCUUUCUUGGCAGGAGGCAGAGCAAGCUUUUAAUUUCGGUAGUCAGAGUGACAGAACAAAAAAAGCACAGCAGAUAGAAGAGCUUAAUUCUUCCCCAGGAAGAAAAUACAUUUGGUUCAACAAAGGGCUGCAAAAUCUUCCAAAGGCACCUCUAUCCCCAGUUUUUGCCUGAAAGCAAGAUGGCAAUCUUAAUUGAAAAGGGGUGCUAAACCUUUUUAAUAACUUAAAAAUUCAUUUUUAUAUAAAGCAGCAAAAACAUGUUUCUCUGCAGAAAGAGAAAUGUUAACAAAGAAACACACCAACAUAAAUGCACUGUUCAUAAACUUCAGCUAAUUUAAUUUCACAAGAAAAUCAAAUUUUAGGACUAUUCUUUAACCUCAUCAGUACUUUCUGAAGAAGAUUCUUUGGCAUCUUCAGUCUCUCUGUUGCUUUCCUCUUUAAUUAAAUUUUCACUUUCUGAUUUGGUCCCAUUAAAUAGAGAGUUUUCACCAUUUACAAACCCAUUUUCUGUGACUUCCGCAUCCAUAGCUUCAUCAAUCUUUAAGUCCCCUUGCUCUUCCACAUCAUCUAGGUUUCUCAAGACAAUGGGGAGUCUGGAGUCCGCCACAGUGUUCUCCAACAAGGCAAUAUUGCUCUCUUCAUAUUUAGGAAGUGGAGCUCCAUCUGCCAUUUGUUUUGUAUAGUACUCUCGGCUAGCAGCAGCACUCUUUACUGCCUUCUCCAAGAUCUCUUUUUCACCUAACCGCAACUUGAUAGCCAUUGUCGCAUGUGAAGUAAGGUCAUGGGUCUCCAAGAAUGACUUAUCAUCCUCCACCGUUGUUUUAUAGGUUUUCAAAAGAAGGGAUGCUCUGGCUUCUAGGAAUGUCCAAAGUUUAACUUCAUUGUCCCAGCUAAUGGGAAACUCAGAGUUCCCCAGAGUGAAGAUUUUAUCAAUGGCAUGUUCGCCUAUCAAGUGUUCCUUCAGCUCUUCUUCAUUCAUACAAAACACUCGAAGGAAAGCCAGAAGCUGGGCAGAGAUCGGAGGUUCAAUGGAGUGCAAGGCAAAAACACUAGACGUUGGGAUACCAGCACGAGCUAAGACCUCUGCCUUCAUAGCAUACAGCCUGUCACUUUUACUCACACCAAGCUUUAUUUUCACUCUGUCAUGUGAAUUAUUAUCAAAGAAAAAACCACUGUGGAUCACAAAUUCAGCGUUUGACCGAGUGCCAUAAAAAAUGUAAAUCUGUUCUCCAGCCUUGAAAUCUUGAAGUGCUACACAUUCACACCGGUCAUCUUCUAAAUUGUAGCCUGUAGUGAUCAGUCCAUUGGUAUGAUUACACAUGUCCCAUAGAGGUAUUAGAGCCAAUGUAACUCUGGAACCAUCUUCUGUUGGAAUCUGAUUCUGCCGUGUCAUAACAGAGGAAACUGCCCAUCUGUAGUCGUCAUAAGUGAAAGAAUCCUUUAAGGGUAGUUUGCUGGCAUUAGGAUGGGUCUGAAUAACUUUGUAGAAAUACGCAUAUUGUCGAGCUGUGUUUUUAUAUUGGCUAAAAACAUCGUGUAUGGCCUGGGUUGACCGAAGAUACUGCACUUCAUCUUCUUCAAAGUAGAGAGGAGUAUCAUAUUCACUGGGGAGAGUCUGGAUGUAGGGCAGCCAGAAAGAGUUGGGGUUGGCUCGCUCACAAAGAAGAUGGAAUGCCAAUGUUAUAUUGCCCAUGGCUUGAAGAAUUCGAUCUUGAGAAUACAAGGAACCUAAUACUGAGUUUUUAGCUGACUCAACUGUCAUCAACAGUUUUCUAGGUACCCACAGAAAUAACUCUUCAGCCUUUAUCUCUCUCGUGGCUUUCAAACCAAACCCCUCCUCUUCAAAGUUAGCUAUUUCAAAACCCUCUGUGGAUGCUCCGUUUUCAGUUGCCCAUUUUAUCAGUUCAGGGAAAUAGUCAUCUCUUUUUCCAUCAAAGACAACAGACAAACCUUUUUGUUUCUUGCGAAUUUUCUCAACAAGUGAACGAAUCUGUAUAUAUUCUUCCCAUUCCUUACCAGGACCUGGGGUAGGACUGCUGCAUUUUUGCAACAACUCACUCGUCAGAUUCAACAGUUCCUUCGGAGAUACUGCUGCUGUGGCUCCUGUACCUGACUUCUGUGUUUUCACUCUGCUUUUCUUCCCCAUCUUCCAACUCCCGCGCGGAGCGGCCGCGGCCUCGGCUGCUGGGAGCGGCGCCGAACCCAGGCCGUCCCUCCGCCGGACGCCGCUGCCCGCGGGUGGGGAGGCGGAGGCCGAGCGAGG